rnacentral:rRNA from 1 species
CUGCCCAAUGAAGAUUUAAAUGGCCGCGGUAUUUUGACCGUGCAAAGGUAGCAUAAUCAUUAGUUUCUUAAUUGGAAGCUGGUAUGAAAGGUUGGAUGAGAAAAUAACUGUCUCUACUUAAAUUAUUUAGAAUUUUAUUUUUAAGUAAAAAAGCUUAAAUUUAAAUAGAAGACGAGAAGACCCUAUAGAGUUUUAUAAAUUUUAAUUUAAGGGAAUUUUAGAAUUAAUAAUUUUUUAAAUUAGUAUUUAUUUAAUUGGGGUGAUUGAAAAAUUAAAAAAACUUUUUUUGUCUUAAAACAUUAAUUUAUGAUUAGUUGAUCCUUAUAUAAAGAUUAAAAGAAAAAAUUACCUUAGGGAUAACAGCGUAAUUUUUUUAAAGAGUUCAAAUCGAAAAAAAAGAUUGCGACCUCGAUGUUGGAUUAAAAUAAAAUUUUGGUGUAGGGGCUAAAGUAUUUGGGUCUGUUCGACCCUUAAAAUUUUACAUGAUCUGAGUUUAAACCGGUGU